rnacentral:rRNA from 1 species
GAUGAACGCUAGCGGCAGGCCUAACACAUGCAAGUCGAGGGAGAAGCCUUUCGGGGCAGAAACCGGCGCACGGGUGCGUAACGCGUAUGCAACCUACCUUUCACAGGGGGAUAGCCCGAAGAAAUUUGGAUUAAUACCCCAUAAUAUUGUUGGAUGGCAUCAUCUGGCAAUUAAAACUGAGGUGGUGAAAGAUGGGCAUGCGUCCUAUUAGCUAGUUGGAGUGGUAACGGCACCCCAAGGCUACGAUAGGUAGGGGUCCUGAGAGGGAGAUCCCCCACACUGGUACUGAGACAGGGACCAGACUCCUACGGGAGGCAGCAGUGAGGAAUAUUGGUCAAUGGUCGGAAGACUGAACCAGCCAUGCCGCGUGCAGGAAGAAUGCCUUAUGGGUUGUAAACUGCUUUUAUAUGGGAAGAAUAAGGUGUACGUGUACAUNGANGACGGUACCA